GGUCUCAUCAUAUCCCGGAUAUACUUCUAUCUUAUGCUGCAUGAAAUUCAUGUUUUAUUGAAGUAAUCCACUUAUAUAUCUUUUAGUUCUCACUAGAGUGUACGUUCUGGGCAGGGACCGAAUCAUACACAUCUUUAAUUCUUGGAAUACCUACCACAGUGCUUAGUAUAUAAAUAUUUGUUGAGUCAUUACAUAAUGCAGUUGGGAAUUGGAAUGCCAGACUGAAUAUACUUUUAUAUCUAUCUGCUCAGUUCUUUCGUAUGAAAAAAUAAUGAAAAUCUUCAGUUAUAACUAUUUUAGCCAGAUGAUUGGGUACAAAAUAGACGAAAAGAUCUGCUGAAAAUGAUACACAGCUAAAAAUAUAUCUGACAAUGUUCCGAGAGAAUAUAUUUAACAUCUAAAAUGCAUUUGUCUGGGGCAUGACAUUCAUUCAUUCAUUCCAAGGAAGAUGAUUAAAUAUCUCAUAUUUGCUAGACAUAUUUGCUAUAUAGGACCAUAGAACUUAAGAUUCAACUCCACCGGCUACAGGGAAGCUUGGCCUAAUUCUAAGUGAUGUGUUUCAGAUGUGUUCUAGAAAGCAGUGAGGAACCGAACUGAAAAGAAGAGAAACUGAAAGUAGGGAAGGCGAUGAAGAAGUUAUCAAGAAUGACCAAGUGAGAAGUGGUGAAGGCUUGAAGUAAGGCAACACCAUGGGAACGGAUGGAAGAGGACCAUGGGCUAUGAAAGAGCCUCGUGUUAGCCUUUAUUUCUUGAGUGUAGUGAAGACAAGCUGCUACUGAGAUUAUGGGUUUCGCCCCCUAGGAGUCCCUGAAGAUCAUUAACCCUGAAAAACAUCAUAAACCGUGGUUUGUGUUAGCACCUCUUGCCAUCAGUUUUUCUAUAAUGAACACUUGCAAUCAACAGUGAUGAACCUCUUUACACUAUUGAAGAAAUCUUGCAGACUUUAAUUGACUUUCAAGAGAAACAAGUCAUCAGACUUUUUUUUUUCCCCUCCUGUGUAUUACAGUGGACAUGACAUGACAGUUAACCAUCUUUAAUACUGUACCGACAUCCAAAGGUAUUGCCAUCACUGAGCCGUAUCAGUUUCGAUGGAUGUGAAGAAAAUGUAAAGAGAUGGAGGUGUGUGACAAAAAUGCCUUUUGUGGAGUACAAAGAAGGAGGAUGAUUGUAUGUCUAGACGUAUGAAAUAGUUCAAU
rnacentral:lncRNA from 12 species